CCGCCGUUCCGCGACCACCCGCCUCCCCGGCCCAGCAGAACCGGGUCCAGGCUGGGGGAGGUGCUAGUGGUGUUUUAAGUCCACCUGGCCUGGAGGAGGACAGAUCCCUGUUGUCAGAGGCACAUCCAGAGCAACUCCACACCAGGUGCAUGCCACAGCAACUCCAUCUUAAAUAGGAGCUGGUAAAACGAGGCUGAUACCUACUGGGCUGCAUUCCCAGACGGCAUAGCGAGGAGGUGCUGAAGAGCGCAGGUUUGGAGAAUAAUCACCUGGAUUGGAACCAUAGCUCUACCAAUAUGGAACCCAGCUCCUUAAGCCUCAGUCUUCUCAUGGAGAACAUGGUGUGAUAAUCCUACUCCUCUGGGAGGGUGGCUGUUAAGGUGAGUGAUUGCACAUGAGUCCCUCUAGCUGAUGUUACCAAGCGGUCCUUGUUUUUAGAGCUCCCAAGAUGGUGGCGGGCCACUUCCAAGAUGGCGGCAAGCUUCUUGUUCUCUGACCUGGGGUUCUUGGCCUCACAGAUUCCAAGGAAUGGAAUCUUGGGGCAUGUGGUGAGUGUUCUCGAUUAGGACGAACCCAGGCACUUAGCCAUGCGGGAACAAUGGUGAGCCUUUAGCCCGAUUGGGAGCAGCAAUGGGUGCCUCACUGGAUCAGGAGCACAGUGGACAUCCUGCCGGAUCCAGAGGGGUGGAAAUCAGUGGCGGGUCUGUGAUGGCGGCAAACAGCAGCAGACAGCAAAUGGCAGUGGUG
rnacentral:sRNA from 1 species